rnacentral:rRNA from 1 species
UACGUAGGGUGCGAGCGUUAAUCGGAAUUACUGGGCGUAAAGCGUGCGCAGGCGGUUCGUUGUGUCUGAUGUGAAAUCCCCGGGCUCAACCUGGGAAUGGCAUUUGGGACUGCAAGGCUGGAGUACGGCAGAGGAGACUGGAAUUCCUGGUGUAGCAGUGAAAUGCGUAGAUAUCAUGAGGAAUACCAGAGGCGAAGGCGGCUACCUGGACAAUUGCUGACGCUCAGGCACGAAAGCGUGGGGAGCAAAAGGG